rnacentral:sRNA from 1 species
AUUUGUUGGACCUAAAAAGAUCUAUUUUUGUUUUCUAGUUAGUGCAUUAAUCCUGAAUUUAUCUUCUUCAUCCUCUGAAAUGGUCUUGUGAACCAUUCAUAGUGGGUUAGAAUUUUUCUUUUCAGCAACUAUAUUAUUUGAACUACUACAUUUUCAUCUCUUAAUUUCAUUUUUUUCCAUCUCAACCUAAGAGCAUAUGUCCUAAUAAUACACUUUGACAGAAUGAUGCUUAGGAACAUCCUGCUAGAUAUCGAACCACUGUUGCUAUGUGAACACCUCUGUUAUUUCCCUAUUCACACUACAUAUUGUUGAGGCUUUUCCUUUCCCAUCCGUGAUAAUUUCCUUCACCUGAUAGAGAUUUCAGAUUCUCCUUAUUGCAGUGUACCUAUCUAGUGUUGAUGAUCUCUUUAGAGGCCUACUUGCAGGAAGAUCCUCCAUUACAUUGAAGAGCCUCGGUGAUCGAAGAAGUCAUUGAUUUAAAAGUCAUUUUCGCUUAAGCGAGAAUAAUUUAGCUUAAGCGAGAAUGACUAUCUUCUUCAAGAAGUUUAUUCUCGCUUAAGCGAGAAUAAUUUAGCUUAAGCGAGAAUUUGGGCAGUAUAUAUACUCACGAGGCAGAAAGAAAAAAGGGUCUUUGGUUCUUUGGAGGCGCGAUUUCACGUCUGGAGCUCAUGGAGGGCGCGAGGAGCUUGUGGGAACAUCUCCUCAUCUUUCUUUGGGUCUCCUUCUUCUUCCAUCUUCCAUGUUUGUAAGCUUUAGGGUUCUCCAUGGAAAUGGAGAACCAGAUUCAUCUUGUUAGGGUUAGAUGUAGCCUAUGAACUCUUGUG